AUGUCGCCCGCAGCCGCAUCCAUGGGCUCCGCAGAACGAUCGACGGAGUCGCAGCAAACGGUAUACGGUACCGCUGUCACCGUGGAAAACGGGCAGGAGAUGCAGGAGCCGGCGGAGCAGGAGACCUGCAGGAGACAGGCUAAUCUUGAAGGCUUGCAGCUGGGAUACAGUGUGGUUCCUAGCGAGAAGAGGUUCAUGGUUCUACACGCUUUCCUGAAGAGGAAACAGUCUAGCAAGAAGGUCAUGGUGCUGUUCUCAUCGCGCAGUUCAGUCAAGUUCCACGCGCACCUUCUGAAUUUUCUUCAGAUAGAGUGUGCUGAUAUCCACGAGAAACAAGAGCAGCACGACCGAACCGCAACGUUCUCCGCCUUCUGCACGGCAGAGAAGGGUGUCUUGUUAUGCACUAAUGUGGCAGCACGUGGACUUGAUCUUCCUGAUGUGGAUUAUAUUGUGCAAUACGAUCCUCCGUCAGAUGAACCAGAGGAUUACAUUCAUCAUGUUGGACAUACUGCACCUGGUGAUAAAGGAAAAGCAACUGUAUUGUUAUUCUUACUGCCCCAAGAAUUAGAGUUCCUUAUCUCCCUGAGGGCAGCCAACAUUCAUCUCACAGAACACCAGUUUAACAACAAGAAUGUGCCAAAUCUGCAAGCACAUUUUGAGAAAAUCGUUGGCGAGAACUACUUCCUGCAUCAGUCAGCUCAACAAGCCUACAGAUCCUACAUUCUAGCAUACAACUCACACACCAUGAAAGACAUCUUUAAUGUUCAUGGUCUCAGUUUGAAGGACGUAGCUGCAUCAUUCUGCUUUAGGAACCCUCCAAAAGUGGAUAUUGGCCUGGAGGGCAGAGCUAUGAAGAAAGUAGGUUAUAACAGGGGCGUUGAUUCGAGAGAGAGGCGAAAGAGGCGUCGCAUCAGUGCUGCAGAUCCUUAA
rnacentral:rRNA from 1 species